rnacentral:lncRNA from 1 species
GGUAUGGAGGAGCUGCGUCCUGGAGACCAGAGUGUUUGCCGCUGUCCUCAUCUUUCCUGGCAAGGAGUGAAAUGCAUCACAAACAGGAGACAGUACAUGGAAAUGAAGAGUGGUUGGUUUCCACUGAAGAGGACAGGAAAGAGAUGCUGUAGACCGAAGGGAGGAAGAACAGAACUUAUACUGUAAGAUCCUUGCACUGUGCCUGUCCUGUCUUUAAGCCAACUGAUCAUGGACUGAAUCACCUAAAAACUCACUUGGCAGCGGAGGCUCCAACCAAGAAGCACACUGACAGUGGACUAGACCAACUGACUUGAGAGAAGGUACGUCCUGGAGGAUGGCAACUCCAGGGAGAAGUAACAGACUUGGCCAGGAGCUCCAGAUCCAGCAAAACCCCAAGUUAUGGUAAACUAGAACAGCCCAGGGUUUCACUUAAAAUGUGACUUCUUCACAGCAGGUUAGAAUUGGAGAAGAAACCCAGUGCGGUGUCCACCAUAUUUCCAGAGUAAUAAUCAGGUCUCAUUUGGAGAAAGCGUUGUGAAGACUGCGUCACAGAGCAACUCGACUUCAGUGAUUCCAGCAUUACUUUCUUACAGAGACUGGCUGAGAGACAGUCACAGGAGACAGCCUCAGGGUGGGUGGGAACUGGACAUACAGCCCUGAGGAUUUUAAACUCUGGCCAGGAAGGACAUGGGCCCUGUCCUCUCUGGAGAGAAAAUAGGCACUGUGAUUGGGGCUUCCAGAGAGGCAGGAUCUGUCUACUGGAACCACCCGCCUACUGUCUACAUCUAGAGAGAUUAGUGGUCUAAUUGUUUUCCCCAUGUACAAAUGUGAACAACAGAUAUGAGUCAUCUUGGAUGGUUGCCACAUUCUGGGGUGUACAGACACAGGGAUGGAUCCCUGGAGCAGAAACGGGGCACCUCACAAACCCAUAGACCAUAAAGCUAAGCGGAGAAAAGGAUGACUUGCUGGAUUCAAAGACUAAAAACCCUAGAAAGAACCAUACAUUCAAAAAAAGAGACAAAAAAUAAUUGGCUCAAUUUUGUUUUCCUAUUUAUUUCCGUCAUUGAUUUGUGGGAGUCUUAUUUCUUUAUCCUAAUUUCUUUUUCUUUUCUUCUUUAUUUUCUUUUCUUUUCUCCUUCAGUUCCUUUUUUUAAGGUUCAUUUUCUUCUUUUAUUUGGCUUUCUGAUUUUUUCCUUUUCCUUCUUAUUCAUAUUUUUUUACUUUUAUCUAAUGUUAUUAAUUUCCUUUUGUCCCUCAAGAAAAUCCUUUAUUACACUUUUCUCCCCUACUUCUCAUCUUCUGUUAAUUUUUUAAAUUCUUUUUUUCAUUCUCAUUUCCCAUGCCUUUUAUCUUUCU